GGGCGGGUGGCGAAAUGGUAGACGCACAGUGUUCAGAACGCUGCGAGGCAACUCAUGAGGGUUCGAGUCCCUCCCCGCCCA
rnacentral:tRNA from 1 species